AAAAGGCCGCGCAUGUUAUUCAACACUGCUUGGAGACCUGGGGUGCCUGGGGAAAGCCUCAUAUCCUAAAGUUGCUCAAGUACUUUAUGUAUGCUUGUUUUAAAAUGUUCUAUUUCCUGUUAUGGCCAUUUUGUAGCUGGUCACAUGACUGACGGUAGCCAUUUUGCUAAAGUU